GGUUAAGCGACUAAGCGUACACGGUGGAUGCCCUGGCAGUCAGAGGCGAUGAAGGACGUGCUAAUCUGCGAUAAGCGUCGGUGAGGUGAUAUGAACCGUUAUAACCGGCGAUUUCCGAAUGGGGAAACCCAGUGUGUUUCGACACACUAUCAUUAACUGAAUCCAUAGGUUAAUGAGGCGAACCGGGGGAACUGAAACAUCUAAGUACCCCGAGGAAAAGAAAUCAACCGAGAUUCCCCCAGUAGCGGCGAGCGAACGGGGAGGAGCCCAGAGCCUGAAUCAGUGUGUGUGUUAGUGGAAGCGUCUGGAAAGGCGCGCGAUACAGGGUGACAGCCCCGUACACAAAAAUGCACAUACUGUGAGCUCGAUGAGUAGGGCGGGACACGUGGUAUCCUGUCUGAAUAUGGGGGGACCAUCCUCCAAGGCUAAAUACUCCUGACUGACCGAUAGUGAACCAGUACCGUGAGGGAAAGGCGAAAAGAACCCCGGCGAGGGGAGUGAAAAAGAACCUGAAACCGUGUACGUACAAGCAGUGGGAGCCUCUUAAUGGGGUGACUGCGUACCUUUUGUAUAAUGGGUCAGCGACUUAUAUUCUGUAGCAAGGUUAACCGAAUAGGGGAGCCGAAGGGAAACCGAGUCUUAACUGGGCGUUAAGUUGCAGGGUAUAGACCCGAAACCCGGUGAUCUAGCCAUGGGCAGGUUGAAGGUUGGGUAACACUAACUGGAGGACCGAACCGACUAAUGUUGAAAAAUUAGCGGAUGACUUGUGGCUGGGGGUGAAAGGCCAAUCAAACCGGGAGAUAGCUGGUUCUCCCCGAAAGCUAUUUAGGUAGCGCCUCGUGAAUUCAUCUCCGGGGGUAGAGCACUGUUUCGGCAAGGGGGUCAUCCCGACUUACCAACCCGAUGCAAACUGCGAAUACCGGAGAAUGUUAUCACGGGAGACACACGGCGGGUGCUAACGUCCGUCGUGAAGAGGGAAACAACCCAGACCGCCAGCUAAGGUCCCAAAGUCAUGGUUAAGUGGGAAACGAUGUGGGAAGGCCCAGACAGCCAGGAUGUUGGCUUAGAAGCAGCCAUCAUUUAAAGAAAGCGUAAUAGCUCACUGGUCGAGUCGGCCUGCGCGGAAGAUGUAACGGGGCUAAACCAUGCACCGAAGCUGCGGCAGCGACACUAUGUGUUGUUGGGUAGGGGAGCGUUCUGUAAGCCUGUGAAGGUGGCCUGUGAGGGUUGCUGGAGGUAUCAGAAGUGCGAAUGCUGACAUAAGUAACGAUAAAGCGGGUGAAAAGCCCGCUCGCCGGAAGACCAAGGGUUCCUGUCCAACGUUAAUCGGGGCAGGGUGAGUCGACCCCUAAGGCGAGGCCGAAAGGCGUAGUCGAUGGGAAACAGGUUAAUAUUCCUGUACUUGGUGUUACUGCGAAGGGGGGACGGAGAAGGCUAUGUUGGCCGGGCGACGGUUGUCCCGGUUUAAGCGUGUAGGCUGGUUUUCCAGGCAAAUCCGGAAAACCAAGGCUGAGGCGUGAUGACGAGGCACUACGGUGCUGAAGCAACAAAUGCCCUGCUUCCAGGAAAAGCCUCUAAGCAUCAGGUAACAUCAAAUCGUACCCCAAACCGACACAGGUGGUCAGGUAGAGAAUACCAAGGCGCUUGAGAGAACUCGGGUGAAGGAACUAGGCAAAAUGGUGCCGUAACUUCGGGAGAAGGCACGCUGAUAUGUAGGUGAAGCGACUUGCUCGUGGAGCUGAAAUCAGUCGAAGAUACCAGCUGGCUGCAACUGUUUAUUAAAAACACAGCACUGUGCAAACACGAAAGUGGACGUAUACGGUGUGACGCCUGCCCGGUGCCGGAAGGUUAAUUGAUGGGGUUAGCGGUAACGCGAAGCUCUUGAUCGAAGCCCCGGUAAACGGCGGCCGUAACUAUAACGGUCCUAAGGUAGCGAAAUUCCUUGUCGGGUAAGUUCCGACCUGCACGAAUGGCGUAAUGAUGGCCAGGCUGUCUCCACCCGAGACUCAGUGAAAUUGAACUCGCUGUGAAGAUGCAGUGUACCCGCGGCAAGACGGAAAGACCCCGUGAACCUUUACUAUAGCUUGACACUGAACAUUGAGCCUUGAUGUGUAGGAUAGGUGGGAGGCUUUGAAGUGUGGACGCCAGUCUGCAUGGAGCCGACCUUGAAAUACCACCCUUUAAUGUUUGAUGUUCUAACGUUGGCCCGUAAUCCGGGUUGCGGACAGUGUCUGGUGGGUAGUUUGACUGGGGCGGUCUCCUCCUAAAGAGUAACGGAGGAGCACGAAGGUUGGCUAAUCCUGGUCGGACAUCAGGAGGUUAGUGCAAUGGCAUAAGCCAGCUUGACUGCGAGCGUGACGGCGCGAGCAGGUGCGAAAGCAGGUCAUAGUGAUCCGGUGGUUCUGAAUGGAAGGGCCAUCGCUCAACGGAUAAAAGGUACUCCGGGGAUAACAGGCUGAUACCGCCCAAGAGUUCAUAUCGACGGCGGUGUUUGGCACCUCGAUGUCGGCUCAUCACAUCCUGGGGCUGAAGUAGGUCCCAAGGGUAUGGCUGUUCGCCAUUUAAAGUGGUACGCGAGCUGGGUUUAGAACGUCGUGAGACAGUUCGGUCCCUAUCUGCCGUGGGCGCUGGAGAACUGAGGGGGGCUGCUCCUAGUACGAGAGGACCGGAGUGGACGCAUCACUGGUGUUCGGGUUGUCAUGCCAAUGGCACUGCCCGGUAGCUAAAUGCGGAAGAGAUAAGUGCUGAAAGCAUCUAAGCACGAAACUUGCCCCGAGAUGAGUUCUCCCUGAGACUUAGAGUCUCCUGAAGGAACGUUGAAGACGACGACGUUGAUAGGCCGGGUGUGUAAGCGCAGCGAUGCGUUGAGCUAACCGGUACUAAUGAACCGUGAGGCUUAACCUU
rnacentral:rRNA from 1 species